AUUGAACGCUGGCGGCAGGCCUAACACAUGCAAGUCGAGCGGGGUUUUCGGACCUAGCGGCGGACGGGUGAGUAAUGCGUAGGAAGCUACCCGAUAGAGGGGGAUACCAGUUGGAAACGACUGUUAAUACCGCGUAAUGUCUACGGACCAAAGUGUGGGACCUUCGGGCCACAUGCUAUCGGAUGCGCCUACGUGGGAUUAGCUAGUUGGUGAGGUAAUGGCUCACCAAGGCGACGAUCUCUAGCUGGUCUGAGAGGAUGAUCAGCCACACUGGAACUGAGACACGGUCCAGACGCCUACGGGAGGCAGCAGUGGGGAAUAUUGGACAAUGGGCGCAAGCCUGAUCCAGCCAUGCCGCGUGUGUGAAGAAGGCCUUCGGGUUGUAAAGCACUUUCAGCGAGGAGGAAGGGUUGUGUGUUAAUAGUACACAGCCUUGACGUUACUCGCAGAAGAAGCACCGGCUAACUCUGUGCCAGCCGCCGCGGUAA
rnacentral:rRNA from 1 species